UUGUGUGUCUAGCAAGAUAAUUCUUUUUCUAUUCUACUUAUUUCUUUAUGUAACGUUCUUGAUCAAGUGGCUUAUAAUGAUUAAUCAUUCAAUUAUCGAAAAAGAAAAAUCAUGGAAAAACUGGAGUCGUAUAGAUUGAUUAUAGUGAAACGAAUGAAGCGGAACAUUAUUCACGUUAACGUGAAACAGGUUUUGGGAUGUUUAUCUGUUUGAUACUUGAUGCUUAAAUUUACAAUUCUUCUACAAUUUCUUUGCAUGCGAAAUUACUUUAAAAUAUAAUUUUUUUUAACUUGUAUCCUUCGGUGUAAAUAUUUCCAGAAUGAAAGCGUCUCGAUCGGGUCGGAUCAAAACAGGAAACGAUAAUUCGCUAAUAAUGCACGUUGCAGCGUUGUCCUGAAAUUGAGGACGCGACUUAAAAAUAGUAGUCGGUCCUCUACCCGCCUUCGCCGGCAUUAAAAUACGGCUCGAACGACGAAUAUAUUUUUUCGUUAAGAUGCAUUUAUCCCACAACAGAACUUUCUUAAAAUAAUCCUAAAAAUACUGCAACGAUAUUUCCGGCGACAACACUUUGUCAUUCCACUUUCCCGAACGGACGGCGUCAAACUCGAAGCUCGCGUUCAUCGUGUUACACGAAUUCGUCAUUAGCACACGUCAAGCUGAAUUAUCGUCAAACUCUCGUGCCUAUGUCACACGUCUAAUUAUUUCCAUAAAUGCGAUAACCCGCCGCAAGUUUUGCUAUGAGCAAUUUCUCUGACAAGAAGUACGACUAAAGUUUAUUGUGAAACGCCGGGAAUUACGCACACGUAAUUCGUACUUAACUCGCUAGAAGCGGCCGGUAAUUUGCGUUAAACGUAUCGAUCACUCUUGUCAACACCACAUUUCGUUAACCGACUUCCAAGAAGAACGAACCAGUCGGGGCUCGUUCAGAAAGGAAAGUGGCGCUCCUUGAAGCGAGAGUGGAAAUGGGAGCAACGAAAAAUCAGGAAAAGGUCGCCGAUCUAUCGGUCUGCUAAGCGUAAUUGCGGACAAAGUGUAGAUACCCGCCGUUCUCGCCGUUCGUGCAAAUAAUUGCCUUAUCUUCGCUAUCCUUCUACACUAGGAACCGCUUGAUUACGAUUUAGAUAUUAACCGGGAAAUUUCUUGGAUAUGAAGUAAUCCGAGAAUUAAUUAAUAACGUUCGUGUAUCGGUCAAUCGGUAAACGAGUUGUUGAGUAAAUUCCCGCGGCUGAGAAAAUUUAAGCGUGGGAAGAGUUACGAGUUGAAAGCUUACAAUCAGAGCAGAACUCGGUGAUGAAAGAAGCGAAGAGGAUCAGUGAGUGAAAUGUAUAAACGACACUUCGAAGACAAUUGAAAGAACUAUUCACCCGGUGCACCACAGUGUUGUGCGAAACACCUCCUUCGAAAUAUGUCGAAGAAUUUGUCUAGAACGUGCCACGAAAUUCAUCAACAAGAUAAUUAAUAGAAGAGGACCGCAG